UUGAUGAAUGGUUGGAAGAGGGUAAGAAGUCAAUCAUUGGAUGAAACAACAUUUUAACAACACUCUGGAGUUAACUGUUACUGGAAUAAACUACAGGUCAAAAGUU